rnacentral:lncRNA from 1 species
UUAUCUCUAGUUCUGCGUUCCAAUAAGAUUCUGGGGAAAAGCUGUAUUCUACCUGGAAUCUCUCAGGUUUCUUUCCAGGCUAGAUAGAGGAGUUCUGGCUAUUUUGAGGAGAGGGCUUUCUUUUUGUUUUUUUUAAACUGGCACAAAAAUCACAUCCUCUUUCUUAUGCAAUGGGACAAAUAUGAGUAUGUCAAAGAUGACAUCUUCUCUGUGAUCUGAAGUUGUCCUCCUGAAAAUAAGGAAUAUGGUAGGGGAAAAAAGUCUAUGUAAGCCCCAGACCUCAGUUUCAUGACCUCGUCAUCUCUAAGUAUUGCUGGGACUCCACUUCAGUCCCUCACUCCCACGACCAGAUUCUGUCCUGGUGACCACGGAGGAAGGGAUGCUCCAUGGACAGGAUCUAAGCACAGCCUCCUCUCCUGACAAGCCACUUGGUCCAUUACUGCCCACAGCCUCAAGCUUCUCCUUCAUCAGGAUCUCAGAUAAGACUUAAGUCCAAGAUCACACAGUCAAUAAGUGGUGGAGAUAAAACUUGAACCCCACCAGGUCAAAAGAAGCAAACUCCUGUCUAACGUAGCAAGCAGACGCUUGUCAUAAAAAGAUCAAGAUGCCCUGUUGAAAACUUAAGAGCCACUCCCUAGGACUGCGCCCCCUGUGGGGACAUUGAGCAUUGCACGUUAGCAGAAAGCAGCUGGAGGCUCCACUCUGGGCCGGGUACUUGCCAGUGUAGACAUAGACCUCCCACUUUAAGCAUAAACCUGAAGUUUCUUUAUUGGUUUGAAAUACACUGGGCCUUGACUGGUCAAAGAGGUGAGCAGAUAUAUACUAGGCCGUGUUAAACUUUCAUCAGCAGCAUGAUUUCUACCAUGUGCAUGCAUUCACAAAGUUCUACUUUAAAGAUCUUAAAUUCCGCGGUUUCUUUACCUGGGCUGGAUGUGGCCUUUGUGGAUGGUCCUUUUCUUUCUGCCUUGGCUGCAGCGCCCCCACCUCUAAACGUUUCCCCAGAACUGGAAAGUGAAAAGUGCCUUUGUAAGGCGCUCAGGUGUGAGAAUGGCUGCCCCAGGUAUGUAUUUUGACAGCAGAGAAAGCUUGCUGUGGGUCAGUCCCCGCAUCCCACGAGCCCCAUCCCCUGGGCCCUGGAUGUCUGCGGCCCGCAGGGUUCUCAGACUGCAGUGUCCUCAAACCUCACUGUCCUCAGACCACAGUCCACAGGGUCCUCAGGCCCCAGUGUCCUCAGGCCCCAGUGUCCUCAGGCCACAGGGUCCUCAGACUCAGCCCUUGCCCACCCAGCUCACAAGGCUAGUUCCCUCCAGGAGAGGAGGCCCCUCUGGAUGAGAUUUGGAAAAUGUCAAGCGAACCUCAGGCUCUGGGGCUUUGUCUCUGCUG